rnacentral:lncRNA from 1 species
AGGACACCUGAUCUUAAACCGUCAUACUUCCACUUUGGAGAAUCUUGAUAAUAUCGAGUUGGAUAUUAUCAAUAGCUCAACAAAAACUUUGAAUUUGUACAUGCAGCAGAGACAGAAAUAUGCCACUGCAGCAGAUUUCUCCAGACCAACAUUAAGAGUAGGAAAGUAUGUCUCCUCACCAGAUUCAACAACUUCUUUUGAAUCCUGAUACCAACAAAACAAGGCACAACACUAAAUCUCUAAAUUGCCUUGAUGGAGCAAAGCUAGAGCAACUAAAAGACUUAGGUUUAUGUCCCUAAAUCUCUAAAUUGCGAUAUAAAAUCCCUAAAUUUCGAUAGAAAAUUCCUAAAUUGCGCUCUAUAAGAC